UUAAAAAUAUUAGCGUCUAUUCCUGUCAUUGUAUGCAAUUUAAGCAAUAAAAUAGUAUUUUUUUCUAAAAAUGAAACCUUUUUAUAUAUUUACUAUUGCUUUUUACUAUAAAAGCAAAAGCAUUUCUUAUCCAAUUACCCGAUUAAUCAAUGGAAUAAUCGUUAGAAUCCUCGAUUACUAAAAUAAUCGAUAGCUGCAGCCCUAAUAAAUUGAUUCAAGCUAAAAUCAAACUUUCUAUAAACAAAUCA